rnacentral:rRNA from 1 species
CAGCACCUCAAGUGGUCAGGAUGAUUAUUGGGCCUAAAGCAUCCGUAGCCGGCUCUGUAAGUUUUCGGUUAAAUCUGUACGCUCAACGUACAGGCUGCCGGGAAUACUGCAGAGCUAGGGAGUGGGAGAGGUAGACGGUACUCGGUAGGUAGGGGUAAAAUCCUUUGAUCUAUUGAUGACCACCUGUGGCGAAGGCGGUCUACCAGAACACGUCCGACGGUGAGGGAUGAAAGCUGGGGGAGCAAACCGGAUUAGAUACCCGAGUAGUCC